GGAGAAAGUCACUUUAUCUUGCCUACUGUGUUUUGGGGCGAUUUAAAGAUGCUGUCUUUGGCAAGGUUACAACAUGUGUUUUGAUUCUAUUGAUCGCAUCUGUUUGACGGUCAUGGAUUUGUUUACAAGGGCCACACACUACCGGUGUGGUUUACAAGAGCAUGUAUGACGUCGGAUGUCGCUCACCAACUAAGGCUUCCAUUGGAGGUCAGACUGGCUUCAACAUUUCCGUGACAAACGACGACCACACAUACAGUAAUGAGAUAACUGCCGUACGGACAGACAAACACUGUGCCAACUGUCUUCAAUCAGGGACGUCGUGUACGGUAAAGUCUGGCACCUGUCUGAUUGAGGGUAACUGUAGGACGGCGGGGAGGUAAAAGCAUGGAUCAUUAAGUGCUCUUAGAAACGCGCUUGACACGUUGUGAUAUAUUGAGUGGAUUCUCCGCAGGAAAU